rnacentral:rRNA from 1 species
AUUGAACGCUGGCGGCAGGCUUAACACAUGCAAGUCGAGCGGGGUGAUGGUGCUUGCACUAUCACUUAGCGGCGGACGGGUGAGUAAUGCUUAGGAAUCUGCCUAUUAGUGGGGGACAACAUCUCGAAAGGGAUGCUAAUACCGCAUACGUCCUACGGGAGAAAGCAGGGGAUCACUUGUGACCUUGCGCUAAUAGAUGAGCCUAAGUCGGAUUAGCUAGUUGGUGGGGUAAAGGCCUACCAAGGCGACGAUCUGUAGCGGGUCUGAGAGGAUGAUCCGCCACACUGGGACUGAGACACGGCCCAGACUCCUACGGGAGGCAGCAGUGGGGAAUAUUGGACAAUGGGGGGAACCCUGAUCCAGCCAUGCCGCGUGUGUGAAGAAGGCCUUAUGGUUGUAAAGCACUUUAGGCGAGGAGAAGGCUCUUUUGGUUAAUACCCAAGAUGAGUGGACGUUACUCGCAGAAUAAGCACCGGCUAACUCUGUGCCAGCCGCCGCAGUAA